rnacentral:rRNA from 1 species
CGGCGGACGGGUGAGUAACGCGUGGGUAACCUGCCUCAUACAGGGGGAUAACAGUUGGAAACGGCUGCUAAUACCGCAUAAGCGCACAGUACCGCCUGGUACGGUGUGAAAAACUCCGGUGGUAUGAGAUGGACCCGCGUCUGAUUAGGUAGUUGGUGGGGUAACGGCCUACCAAGCCGACGAUCAGUAGCCGACCUGAGAGGGUGACCGGCCACAUUGGGACUGAGACACGGCCCAA